GAAUUAAAGAAUAAGGCCAGGAAUGGCUUGAAGGUUUGCUUACCUAAGUAUGACUUAGCAAAUGUAGCCUGACUGACCACAAAGAGGGGCCUGCAACCCCUGCAGAGCUACGAUAAGUAACAAGACAGGAAGGCUGGCACGUAGGCAACAGUCGUGAGGCCAGCACAAUGUUAUCUUAUCUCUGACAAAUGGAGAACUCCAAGAGGGAGGUAGCGUAUGGUAAUGAAUUACUGGAAACUAAUGAAUAUGUUAAAACUCCUUACAUGAAUAUGUAUGUAUGUAUGCAUAUAUGUUGUCAAACCGACUCCGUCUGGCGCGCACAUUUGGAGGAGCGAUCCCCUGUGCGUCCAGCGCUGCAAUAAAGAAUACCUGCUUAAUAGUCAUCCUGGCUAUUGAGUCCUGAUUUCGUCUUUCACGGCAUCAAUUCUGGCGACCCAGAUAGGACCCUCUCUGCUCGGCUGCAGGACCCGCUGAGAACAGGACUCCCCAGGGUACCCCCGAGACCUUCCCGGAGGGACUCCUUGCCUCAUACGGAUCACUGCGGGAGCAGACAAGGACCAUCUAGAAAAUAAGGUAAUCCACUGGAAGAGAAGUGGAACGGACCAUUCCAAGUGCUACUGACCACCUUCACUGCAAUCAAAGUGAAAGAACAGCUGUCCUGGAUUCACUAUUCUCGCAUGAAAAGAAAAAAGCUCCAGACAAGCAAUGGACUUCUGAAACCUUUAGGACCCUUAAAACUAAGAUUACAAAAGACGGCUUCGAGUCUUACGGAAGAUCCCGACUUGAGCAGAGAUGGACUUCCGAAUGUACUGGAUCAGCGAAACUGCGAUUCCGGAAAUCAUUAUUAUGAUCUUCUACAUCACAGCUGGAUGGACAGAGAACUGCACCACCCAUCAAGAUCUAGAUGAUGUCCCUGACCCUGAAGAUUGGACCAGGAAUGGAUAUUUGGGCAAUGCAGGUCUGAAUAUCACAUAUAAGAAGACUAAGGUAUACACAGUUUUAAAAAUUGAUGGUCAGAUUAGAAGAGAUUGGGGAAAUUCACGACAAAUACUGUCUUUUGAAAUAAAAGAGAAGCAGUUUAUAA